GUUAGGGCCUCAGUGACAGGGAUGUCCAGCAGGAAGGCUGGAAAAUGAAGGGACGUGAGCAGGAGUCUCCACGACAACUUUGGACAAUUCCAGGACCCUACGGUGUCAUAAUGUCAGCAUUUAUGUAGUGAUGUGUGGCUCGAGUUAUGAGACCACCGAUUCACGGCGUGUGCUUGCCUCUCUCUGAGAAGCUAAGAAGGCAGUAAACCUCCAUCACUCUGCAGUAUUGAAAUCUCAGAUUAUUCAAGGUACUCCGGGCACAUUUAGCAUGGGAAUGGAGAGAGACUCUGCGGUGCUUUGAUAAACAAUGAACUUAAAAGGAAAGAAAGUGAGGUUUACAGUCGACGCUGAGUCUGUCGUUCAGUCAGCCCAGCUUGGGCUCCAGACAUGUGAGUCAAGAAGCCAUCUUGAAAAUGGACUCUCUAGCCCUAGCUGUCCCCACCACCAGCCAUUCAGAUCGCUCCCCACUGCGUGAGUGGUGCCAGCUGAAGCCUCAGAUACUGCGGAGCAGAGAAGGCUAUCCCCUUUGCCCUUUCUGAAUUCCUGAUCCAGAGAAUCCAUGUGCCUAAUAAAAUGGUUG